rnacentral:rRNA from 1 species
UACGGAGGGGGCAAGCGUUAUUCGGAAUUAUUGGGCGUAAAGGGCGCGUAGGCGGCUAGAUGUGUCAAAGGUGAAAUCCCUCGGCUCAACUGAGGAACUGCCUUCGAAACUGUCUGGCUUGAGGCCGGGAGAGGGUAGCGGAAUUCCCAGUGUAGCGGUGAAAUGCGUAGAUAUUGGGAGGAACACCAGUGGCGAAGGCGGCUACCUGGACCGGUUCUGACGCUGAGGCGCGAAAGCGUGGGUAGCAAACAGG